GUAGCACUUGCGGCAUUGAGUGAUUCAGAAGGUUGUGGAGCCUCAUGUUCAGGUAGUAGUUUAGACCAGUCUAUUUUAGAGGCCUCUAGACCUCAACAAGCUCCACUGCCUGACUAUGGUUUAGAUGAUCUUCAUUCUGAUGACUCCAGUGGUGAAGAAAAUAAAGUUUUGCCAUGUAGAAAACGAGCACGCGGAGCGAGUCAGUAUUAAAUUUGCAACAUGAAAUCUCUCACUCACAAAUGUUUACGUUCUUUGUUAGUGAGAAAAGUACACCUGAUCUCUCCAAGUUAUUUAAUGAUAUUGAUAAACGGUUAUUGACUCGGCGUUCAAGUGCAGUUUAGCAUUCCCCUGGAAAGGAAAAGCUUGCCUAUUCAAAUUAAUGAUUUGAUAAUGUUAACAAUUUACUAGUCACUGAAGUGGAUGUGUCUAAAGUUUUAUACUUAAUUGUACAUGUACUUUAAACAAUUAAGAGUUAUUUUAUCAAAUUUUGUAAUUUUAAAAAUAAUUGUACAAUAAUAUUUAUGCAUUUGAAAGUA